rnacentral:rRNA from 1 species
UACGUAGGGGGCGAGCGUUGUCCGAAGUUACUGGGCGUAAAGAGCGCGUAGGCGGGUCUUUAAGUGAGGGGGGAAAGGUUAGGGCUCAACCCUAACACUGCCUUUCAUACUGGGGACCUUGAGUGCGGGAGAGGCGAGUGGAAUGGUCGGUGUAGCGGUGAAAUGCGUAGAUAUCGAUCGGAACACCCAUGGCGAAGGCAGCUCGCUGGCCUGCAACUGACGCUGAGGCGCGAAAGCGUGGGGAGCAAACAGG